AGGUACAGCAUUAAUGCUUAUAAUAUGGGAAAUGGUGACAUUGACAGAAAAAGAUUCCAUCGUUGCACCACAAAAUAAAUGCAAGUGUGAGUAUCGUCUCAUUUUCAAUAGUAUUAUGAAGAUUACUGAGUUUAAAUCAUUACAGUGUUCUACCAGUCAUGAAGAGACUGAUAAGUUCUGGUCCAGUAUAACAUGUUAGUCAACUUCUUGCCUUGCUAUGAACUAGUAGUGUUUAUUUUGAAUUGUUGUACCCAUGUUACCGAUGAAAUCACCAUGAAGACUUAAGGAAGAAUAUGUACCAGAAAAGAAACCACAAGCAUGCUGAAGAUUAUUUUUUUUUUGGAAAACCUGUGUUAUCAUUUAAACUGGACACUUCAUUUUUAAGAUGGCCUACGAAAGAAAAGGGGACUGUUUGAAGAUGAUAGAGUAAACAUAUUGAGUGUUGUUGUGUGAAACUAAAGAUGUAUGUAGUGGAAGGAAACAGUGAUUUUAUCUGCCGUGACUGAAGAAGAAUAAAAGUUUAAAACAUGUUU